AUAUAUAUAGUGACUGCCUCUAAUCUAUAAAUAUUGAAGGAUGUUAAUCUUUUUGGUCACAUAUUUAUAUUGUUGCUUUUUUUAUUUGAUAUUAGAGUAUAUGAUCUAUGUAAUCUCUACUUUUUAAAUGUACAGCUUUCAAGCAAAUGUAUGAUUUUUUCAUAAAUGGACAUAAGAUUGAUUAUAUAUAUAUGUACGUGUGUGUGCAGAGAUUAUAUAUAUACAUACAUGCAUAUAUUCGUGUAUACAUUUGCAUAUUAUAAUUUAUCUACUGUUAUUCACUUUCUCACCUUCCUUGCCUGAUUUUGACCUUUAAUCUUGAAAUAAUUUUAUUAACUAUAUACUAUAGUUUGCUUUUUCUCACCUCUCCUUACAUUUUCAAUAUAAUUUCUUUCCAAAUAUUUAGGAUGUAUAUUGUGUUAUAAUUGCUAUAUCAACAUGAAUUGUGCCUAUUAUGAUUGUAAAAGUCCCUCUUUACACUGCUUUUUACUUUUGAGCUUAUAUCUAAGAUUUUCUGAUGAAAUAUUGACAUUUUUGCCUUUCUUAAUUUUGCAUUUGCCUGGUAUCUCUUGGCUUUUCCCUUUAUUUUCAACCGUUCUUUAUCACUUGGUCUGAAGCAAGUUUCUUGUAACAGCACAUUGCUCGAUUUUGUUUUUUUAACCUAAUUUGACAGCUUUUGUCUUUUUAUAGAAUAUUCAGUAAGAGGAUUCAGUUUUCAGAAUGAACUAGAGCACAGAAGGGGGACUGCCUCUGCAUAUUUAAGUAGAUUGUAUUCCAAAGAUAUGAACAUUGUUGAGGCAGGAGAACUAACUAGCUUCUUACAUAGAAAGGUGUUUCUAUAGGGAAUGCUCCACAGAAUUCCAAUUAAUUGUUUCACAGAUUAAGAGAGUCACCAGGGUUCCCUUGUAACAUUUCUCAUCAAAGAGUGUUCUAUAGGGAAGAGAUAAAACCUAAACAGUCCCGGAAGCUGAGACAAGAAACUGAAAAAAAAAGGAAAGUGAGCAACAAGAUAAUGUAAGUCACAACUGAGCCAAUUAAGGAGCAGGAGAUGCAGCAGCAUGUCCCAAACAAAACUGAUUGGAGGUCAAGUGUGGACAACCAGAGCAAGUUCUUGCACAGCUAAUGUAUCCCCAGGUGUGAACUGAGUAACAUGAAGAAAGGCAUCCUCCUGCCACCUCCUGAAUCAGUAGAAAAAGACAAAAGCUUUUGAUGGGAUUAUGCUGGAGUCCAUGUCAUGGAACCAAACUGGAAAUUUUCUGGCAUGAUUUUAGGCGUUUUGCAUGAACUCUAAUUCAUUGAAAUGUAACAACCUUAUAAGGUCCCUGCAGGACCAUGUCACCCAAAAUAAUGCAUCAGAUAUAAGGACUUGUCUUUUACUCAUUUACUUCUUGGACCUACUUAGAAAACUGUGGCAGCACUGUUUUGUUAUUAUUGUCUUAAGUGCAUGAUCCAACUUGGAAAGAUUCAACUGGCUCAUGGUUUGUACCGGGGGAACCAAGCCCAUGGUUGGGAUCCAGGGGUCCCUCCAGUCUCCUGUUCCAUGGUCGCACACACCUUGAGGGCACCCACACGGUUUGAUCGUCUCCUUAUAUUGCUGCUGGCAGACUCGUGACGGGGUUUCUCAUUCAUCUGGGUGUACAAGAAGCAUGGUGCCAGCAUCUGCUCAGCUUCUGAUGAGGGCUCUGGGAAGCUUUUACUCAUGGAGGAAGGCAAGGGGAACCAGCAUGUCACAUGAUGAGAAAGGAAGCAUGAGAGAGAGGUGCCAGACUCUUCAACAACCAGAAGAGAAAGUCAGAGAGAAUCAAAGCAUGUGAAGAGAGACCUCACGCAAGGAGGUCUAGGAGCCUAGAGUGAUCUUCAGCCAACAGUCAAAAAGAUAACUGGGACAACCACAAGGAACUGACUUCUAUAAGAGAAAUGAGCCUGGAAAAGGACUCCAAGCUUCAGAUGAAAAUGUAGUUGGCUGACACUUUGAUUUUAGUCUUGUGAAACCCUAAGCAGAGAAUCCAAGUAAGUCCCCCUGAACUUCUCACCUAAAGAACAAUGAGUUAAUAAAUAAGGGGUAUGAUAAGUCAUGAAAUAUGUGGUAAUUUAUUACAAAACAAUAUAUAAUGAUACAGAUACCUAUCUGGUAGCCAGAUAUUAUCCUAAGUAUUUUCCACAAGACAUUUAAUUUGAUUUAAUUAACACGCAACUCCAUAAGAGACAGAUCCUUUUAACUAUUUUGCAGGUGGUAAACUGAGGCUCAAGUAAUUUAUGUGAUUUGUCUAAGGUCCCAUAGGCUAUAAGUGUCAGAGCCCAGAUUGAGAAGUGUUUGGCUGUUCAUGCAAGUGCAAGCAGCUUUCAUUAAACUAUUCGCAGAAGUCUGUCAGAAUAGCUAGCAAGGAUACCAACUAUCUAGGGAAAGUCACACCAAAGGAGUGACCCAAAGAAACACAUUUUAACCUGAACUGCCUGGUAAUACACUGAAGGCAAAUCAGCCCCAAAGACUAAAAUUGUUAAUUUUCUGUGAUUCCUCGCUGUUUUAUUUAAUAUAAUAUGACCUUAACCUAGUCUUGAUAUUUGAUUUCUGAACAAUGAGUCAAGAGAGUUGCCUUCUCUAUGUAGUAGUACUUUACUGUUGUCAAAGACUUGUCCUUUGGUGCUUCAUAUUUUGCUUUACCUACAUGGAACAUUGCUAAUUUAGGUGAUAGCCUAACUAUUUAUAGUUAAAUACACCCACCAAGUUCCCUUUACCCUUCAAAUUAACUAAAAAGAAACAACUUCCUACUUCUUACACCACAUAAAAUUCAUAUUUUGCUUUAAAUGUAAUUUUUCAGCAAAGAGCCUAGUGGAGUUCACUUAAAACUAACCAAAUCAGCUGUUAAAAUUGUCCAUUUGAUCACAUGGGUUAUAGGCAUAGUUAUUUGACUGAGUUAUGACAAUGCUCAGAAACAGAAAAGACAGUCAAAGGUUAUCAUGUAAGUUCAAUAAAAAUUCAACAGUUGUUUUUAAAGAUUUUCAUAUGAUAAUAUUGUUUCACUUUCUAUUACCCAUAUUUGAUUUCAUUUACAAAUAAAAUACUACCCACUCUAUGAAUCAUGCUUUUAUCUCAAAUAUAUCUAGAGUGAAUCUCUAUGAUUUUUAGAAUACAGAAAUAUACAUUUUAAAAAGAUUUUAACAUUUAUUGUAAAUAAUUUAAGACAACUUUUAGAUAUAUCACGUGAGUGUUUAACUCAAUUUUCAUGACCCAGCUGGCCCAAAUUAGUCUUUUUUAUAAAUUGUUUUUUGAGUUGAAAUUAUUCUUUCACACCUAAAGAACUCUAUCUGAUGCUCUAGAGAGAAAUAUUCAAUUGAACUUCACAAUGUAGAACAUUUCCUGCAUUCUCCAUUGUAGACUGUGAUGAAUAAAUCAAUAUGUGCUUACUAAAAACAAAUGAUACAAUUUAAGGAAAUAUAUUAUUUUGAGUCCUGAUUCAAAGAAAAUAACCAAAUAUUUAAAAUUUAUUUAAAAUUUGUACUGUUUAUUUAUAUAAUUAUAACAUCUUCAAAAUCAAUAAUGAUUUUCUUCAUUUAGUAUUUAAACAUAACUAUUUUCUCAUAGUACUAGAGUCGCCAUAAGCAUCACUCUAUGGCUAUAUAAUUUCUGACAUGUGCUUUUAUUGGAAUUCAUUAAUAAUUUCAUUAUUUUUAGGUAUUUAGAUCAUGGCCCACUUUCCCCUACAACCACGAUACCUGUUUAAAUUGACAAAUCAUAGUUGUAUGGAUUUACGGGGCAAAAUGUGAUGUUUUGAUAUACGUAUAUGAUACAGUUUGAUUAAAUCAAGCUGCUUUAACAUAUCCAUCAUCCUGCUUACCUAUCAUUUUUAAUAAUGAGAUAUUUGAAAUGUAUUCUCUUAGUUAUUUUCAAAUACAUAAUACAUUAUUAUUGACUGUAGUCAUCCUGGUGUGCAAUGAAUCUCAAGAUGAAUAUUUCCAUGAACAUUAAAAAAAAUUCUUCCAUUUUGAAAUGUCACUUUUCAUUAAUUGUGACUCUGAUACUUCUCCGCUUGACAUCUCCACUUAUGCAAUAAAAAAAUUCAUUGUACACUUUAUCUUCUAGGGACUUGACACGUGCAAGCCCUUCACUUUCAUUUUUUUCUAAGCCAGCUUUCUCCAUCCCCUCAUAUCAAUGCCUCAGCAUCCAGUGAUUAAAUCCCAGCAUUUCUAUCACAGUUUAUCUCCAUCACAAUAUUUCCUGUUUUGCAGUAUAACUGGUGAUUAACUUUAAUUACAAUCAUGACUACUCUAUAGCAGAGGCCAAAAUGAUGAUUACACAUCAUGUUUCAUAAUAUUUUUCAGUUAGAUGAAGCUUCAGUGCAGCUACCCUGCUAAAAUAACUAAUUUGCAUAUCAUUAUAUAGAGUUCAAAUGAACUUAUUUUAUCCACUCCCACCCAUUAGUCAUCUUAUUGCAGUUUAGAAAAUAUAUUGACUCUGGACCAUGAGUCUGUAGGUGAAGGUAACAGUUAUAAUGAUGAAAAAAAAUUUUCUCAGGUCAUUCUGUAUUUUUCCUGAUUUAAUUGAUUAUAUCACUCAUAGGCCAUCAAGGCACCACUAGAAACUUUUCUAUUAAACAUAGUACUGGAAGUUCCAGCCAGGGCAAUCAGUCAAGAGAAAGAAAUAAAGGGUAUUCAAAUAGG
rnacentral:lncRNA from 1 species